UCAGUGCAAAAGGAGUGACGGGGGAGGGACACGGACACUCAUCCGACAGCAGAGAGGGCAAGACAACAUGGACAAAUCUUCAACCAACCAGGCGAAAGGGGCAACCCCGAAGAAAAUAAUAACCACCAAGGGGAUAAAAAAUGGAUCCUCGUCUCAGUCUCCAAAAGAUACCUCCCGGCCUGCGACCUCAAGGACUGUAGGUACUGCAUCAAAGCCUUCAGCCAUCAAAACAACAUUGGUGGUAAAAGAAGCAGCACUCACAAAAUCUGCUGCGGGCAGGGCCGUCGCUUCACCCAAGAGAACAAACUCAGUGCCAGAUGGAGGU